AAUAUCUGCGGUGCCUUUCACUGAAAAACCCAAGUCUCCUCCCAAGGGGGGGGAACAGAGACGGAAAAUGGGAUAAUGUUUCCCUCAGUUCCCGUUGUCCCAGAACUGGACUUUGUUUGAGAGGAGGCGAUGAUUUACCCUGGGGCUGGGGGGGGGUUGAUUUACAGAGCAGUAAACCCAGCAGCAUUGUCUCCAUCGUUGGGGCUGUUUAUUUUUUCCCUUGGAAAAGCUGUAUCCGUUAUCUUCCUUCCGCUAGAAAUCCCAUCCAAGCUGAUAAAAGCUCCUUACAGCUCCCAGGGGGGGAGGAGAGGGGGUGUUUGCACGGUGCUCAAGGCUGUGUCCACCCCCAAGCCCUGCUCACCUGCAUCCACUGAGGGGGGAGAUGGGGAGGAAGCCAGGUGUGAUGGAGUUUAAUUGGUUUUAAAUUAAUAUGGAGGAGGCUGAAAGGUGUAGGGAGUGCUCUCGGUUUCCUUGGGAAGUGCUUGCUGCUGCCAGGGGCCAAGGAGAGGUCUGUGGGUUUGUUCCAAUUAGGGGUAACAAAGCUGUGUUUUCCUUUCCCCUCGGUCCUAGCAAAGUGCUGAACAUGUUGUGGGUCCAGGUGAGCUCUUUCCCAGUCGGAACAUCCAAUGAAGGCUGCAGCACGGAAUGGGUGAGAGAGCAGAGCCAGGAGCCCUGCAGGCACAGCAGGAGCCCACUGCUGGAUUUUCCUAGGAGGAGACCACACUGCUGCCUUGCUCCAUCUCACUGGGUAAGGCUGUGCUGGGGGUGCCCAAAGCCUCAGGGUGUACAGAACUGGGGACUGGGGACACAGGAAGGUGACGGGGAUGUUUCCAGGCUCUUCCAACUCCAGAUAUAAACCAGGAGCUGGAGAAGAGGAGGGCUUUGCUCAGCUGCCAGCGGAGGGGAAGCAGGUGGGGAUGUGGCGUUUGAUGGGUGUCGAAAGCAUCACAGUGUGGUGUCAGCUUUUGGGGACGGACAAACGGAUCCCACAGCACCAGGAGCUUGGGGUCAGAGAACCAAAGUGACAGCCUGAGACACAACGCCUGCAGGGCCGGGAGCAGAAGCAUCAAUCCCUCCUUCAGAACGCUUCAUUUCCAUCCCCAGCAUCGCUCCUUUUCAUUUUGCGUGUGUCAGCAACAGCCAGCGGGGCCGCUCUGCUGUCACAUCCCCACGCUCUGUCCCUGCACACAUCGAGCAGACGGAGACGUUUUAAUUAACAAAAUCACAGCGUCGCGUCUCGGUGCCGGAUUGAAGAGGCAGCGCUGGGAGCGAGCGGCUGCUUCCCUGCUGUUGUGCCCAGAAAGGCUCCACGUCCCCAACGGGCAACUGAAGGUCACACAGAUGGGUGUUUGGUUUUGUGUUUUUUUUUGCCUCUUGAGUCAUUUUCCAUUUGAUUAAGGAAAGAGAUGCGUGGCAGCAGGAGUUGGGAAAUCUCAGGCUCUAUCUUGAGAUGAACUGCGACUUGCAGUGCUCGUGCACAGAUGAUGCUCCUUUGUUCUCUGUCCAUUUGUAGGGGGAGAGGAGCCAACGAGCUGGGCAGAGAUUUCUCAAUCCCAGUGAAAGUCUUGAGGUCACUUUUUGAGUCCCUGCUGCUGCAUCCCGCUACAAGAGAAACACAAACUCAUGUGGAACAUAUUUAGAUUGGAGCUCUGUUACCAACACCAGAUUUCAGUAGGAUGGUGCUGAGCCUUGGCCAGACAUCAGCUUUCCCCCUCUCAUCUAUUUAUCCGCUGCAAAUUCAUCGAACACCUAUUUCUGGUGCCAAUCAUUUAACCAAAGAGCAAACCGAUUCACCUGGUGGAUGAAUCAUUUUCAGGAUGCAGACCCUCCUUUCCCCCUUCUUU